UGGUGAUUAGCUCAGCUGGGAGAGCACCUCCCUUACAAGGAUGGGGACGCACCUAAUCUCCCAUCAACACCGA
rnacentral:tRNA from 13 species